rnacentral:rRNA from 1 species
GACGAACGCUGGCGGCGUGCUUAACACAUGCAAGUCGAACGGAAAGGCCCUGCUUGCAGGGUACUCGAGUGGCGAACGGGUGAGUAACACGUGGGUGAUUUGCCCUGCACUUCGGGUUAAGCCUGGGAAACUGGGUCUAAUACCGGAAAGGAGCCAUUUUUAGUGUGAUGGUUGGAAAGUUUUUUCGGUGUCGGAUGAGCUCGCGGCCUAUCAGCUUGUUGGUGGGGUAAUGGCCUACCAAGGCGGCGACAGGUAGCCGGCCUGAGAGGGUGGACGGCCACAUUGGGACUGAGGUACGGCCCAGACUCCUACGGGUGGCAGCAGUGGGGAAGAUUGCACCAGGGGCGCAAGCCGGAUGCAGCGGCGCCGCGGAGGGGAUGACAGCCUUAGGGUUGUAAACUCCUUUCGCUAGGGACGAAGCUUUUUGUGACGGUACCUAGAUAAGAAGCACCGGCUAACUACGUG